rnacentral:misc_RNA from 1 species
CAGUUUCUGUACUUUAUUGU